GCUCGCUCCUCCGCAGGCCCCCGCGCGGCGCAGGGACCCUGGCUGCUCGGGCCUUCCCGCCUUCGGCGCCCCCGCCGCCCGCACCCCGGGCCCUCCCGGCGGCCGCAACCCAGCGCAGGAUCCUGCGUGACCACCUCCUGGUGGGAAGGCUCUGCAGGGUCACACGAAAACCCCGUCGCUUGACCCCCUUCUCCGAAGGACAGCGGCCGUCAGCUGGUCCAGGAUGCCCUUCAAGAGUCACCCCUUCCUCAAAUGGCAAAUCACCGUGCUUCUGUCUUCAACAAGCAUUUAUAAACAGGAAAAAAGUAACACAUCUCAUCAGAACACAAAAUAAAAAUUUCAGGGGAAAGAACCAGCCUCAGUUCGGCGGCGGGUCCUGUACAGCCAACGGCCAGGGCAGGCUCACGUGGGUUGUAGGUGUACGCGGCUGGCCAGCUGGACGACGGAAGAGCUGGUGGGAACAGGUGGAGUGAUGAGACUUGACAGUGGGCCCGGGCUGUGGCUCCGUGGCGAGGCCAGGAGGCCAGCUGGAGGAGGCUCCAAGGGGCAGCGCUGGGCCCGGAACAGCAGGGGAAGUGAACCAGGACACGAGAGCUAGGCUCCCGUGGCGAGCAGGGCAGAGCGAUUUCCUUCGCUCACAGUCGUCUGCAUUCCGAAGACCCAGGAACCGUAUUCCAGCAGCUCCAACCUCCUUCUUAGAGGAGCCACCCUCCAAUAUCAGUGUUCAUGCAAAAAAGUGCAGAGUUUUCAGAUGUCUGCUUUUGUGCAAAAAAUGAAAAAUGUUCCCACUCAAGCAGUAAGCAAGGGGACCAUUGAUUCAGAAGUGUGUUAGCAUAGCGGCCCAGUGUUGAUUUGUGAAUUGCAUCAAAAUGGAAAAUGGAAGAGGAAAAAAAUGUUUCUCUGGUUCACACUUUCCUUAAUAAUUGUGUUUCAGCAAAUGUUGAUAGGAUGAAAUAGAUGUCUCAGCACUUUAUUAAAAUAAAUAUUUGAAUUGUCCUUAAAAAGGUAAGAAGAUAAAGAUGAUGUAACUGUGGCUAAUAUAAUAGGUACCACUUUCUUGAAUAACAUUGUUUCAAAUGAAAACGUUUGUCAAGGGGUUGUAGGAGGUAUGGGAUCUGGGUCUAAAGACCUUGGCUCUAUUGCCUGGAAACUAGAUCCUUAAUUCCUCUGGCAAAGUGUUUGUGGGUGGAUUCCAAGGUGUUUUCUCCUGGCAUGGGGAGUCGCAGGCAUGGCUAGCACUGUUCUCAGCAUUUCUCAGAAGUGGUGUCUCUAGAGCACAUUUUGAAAUCCCCUGUAUUAGGAGGUAGAAUGAUUAGGUUGAGGUUACAUGUAGGGAUUUAGGACCCAAGUCAUGGAGAGCCAAUUAAUGUUUAACCUAAAAAACAAAACCAAAAAUGUUCUAGAUCUGGUAAACAGAGGUUUGCUAGAUGGGCAGGAUUCCCCAUCUAGGUCCCAAAAUUAUUCUAACAACAGGGAAGCAGGCCACACUUGAGAAAGGAUCCUGACAUCAGAGGACAAGCAGAGGAUAGCAGUCUUCCUGUUCGCCUUCUCCAAAGGGACCUGUGGUCGUUUUGCUGGUAACUGCGCGAUGGGGACCGAGAAACACAGACCUUCCCGUGGUGACUGGACACAGCUCUGAACUAGCCGCAUUCCUGGGGACUCCCAAGUCCCCUGAAGGCCACCACUCAGAUGUCACGGGCGGGGCCUGGGUCCACCACGCCCAGCAGGCUGACCCUCUAACCAGGGCGCUUUCACCAGCUGGGGUCAGCAAAGUGGAGGAAAGUGCCC
rnacentral:lncRNA from 1 species